rnacentral:rRNA from 1 species
AUGAAAAACACUCAAAUGGCAAAUGAACAUGUCCGGUUAAAGUCCACGAAAUUGUUGUCCGUCUGUUCUUGCGUGGAGAUUCGCGCUGGUCUUGUUGCCGGGUCCGGGGGAGCUCAAGCAGCGGAGCAGGAGGCGAUUCUCCCCGUCCAUGGCGAUUUUGAGACCUUCCCCCACUCGAGCUUGAUUUCUCUCCCCUUCCUCUUCGCUCCCCGGUGUCGCGGUUGGUUGUUCCUCUCUCUCUCCCCGUCGCGCGCUUGUGUUGUUCUGCUCUUGUUCGUCCCAGAUCUAGGUCAGUUCAUGUCGCCCUCUCGCGCAUGUGGUGCAGCCGCUGGAUUGAUAGGCUUCUGGUUGUUGUGGUCAUCCCCCGCGCGCUGCUGUGCUUGUGUUCCUGUAGGCGCGAGGGGUUUUGUAGAUGUUCCCGUAGGUGCUCAUGUUCCUGUAGAAGAUGGUUCUCAUCCUGUGUCUCCGGAUCUAUCUCGAGAUGAAGGAGAGUUCGACAAGGCUCUUUUGAAGUUCUAUCUCAAUCAAAGGCAGAAACGAUCUACUGAUUUCCCCACUUGUGCUACUUUCACUAGAUAUUCUGGGAAGUUCUUCUCUGGUGUUGUUGCUGGAAUGUGUCCUAGGUAUCAGAAUGUCAUCCAGACAUACGUCAUGGGCUGUCUCUUAAACUUUGUUAGGACUGAGGUUCCCCUUAGGCUAGUGAAGUGGCUUGCUAGUAGGUUUGAUGUCCCUUCAUCUGAAUUCCAGUUCGAAAGGAAAUUUAUCCCAAUGACCAAGUAUGAUAUCCAUGAUAUCCUUGACCUCCUAGUAGAUGGUGAGCCACUUGUGUCUGAUCCUGAGUCUGGCCGUGAUUUUAUCCUGUCUCACUUCAAUGUUUCUAGUAUUCCUCAUGUCUCUUUCUUCGCCAACAAGCUUAAAUCCACCGAAGUCGAAUUGUCUGAUGAAGACAUUUUCAUUUGCUUCAUGAUUGUUGCAUUGUCCUCAUUCCUUUUGUCCCAACUCUAG